GCCUUCCCCUCCCUCCCUCCGCCUCCCGCCCGCUCCGCCUCGCGGGGCUCCCGCCGCCCUGCCCGCCCCGCCUCACGCCCCGGGGCUCCCGCCGCCUCCCGCCCGUUCUCCUCCUCACGCCCCGGGGCAGGAUCCCGCAGCCCUGCCCUCCUCAAUCCCCGGCUCUCUCGUCCCCCUUUGCCCGUUUCCCCUCACGCCCCGGGCCUCUCGUCCAUCUACCCGCCCGCUCCGCCUCGCGCCCCGGAGCUCUCGUCUCGCUGCCCGCCUGGUUCCCCUCACGCCCCGGAGCUCUCGUCCCGCUGCCCGCCUGGUUCUCCUCACGCCCCGGGGCUCCCGGAGCUCUCGUCCCGCUGCCCGCCUGGUUCUCCUCACGCCCCGGGGCUCCCGCAGCCCUGCCCUCCUCACGCCCCGGGGCUCUCGUCCCCCAGCCCGUUCCCCCUCACGCCCCGGGGUGUCCCGGGGCGCUCCCGGGGUCCCUCAGCCCUCCCCGGGCGCGGGCGGGCGGCUGCGGCCGGAGCGGUAACGGGGGAUCUAUGAAGGAGGCGCGAGGGAACCGCCGCGGGGCUGAGGGCGCAGCGAGGGGCCGCGGGGGAACGUGAGGGAGCACAGCCGAGAAUGGAGGGUCUGGAGCGUCUCCCCGAUGAGGAGAGACCGCGGGAGCUGGGCCUGGUUAUUCUGGAGAAGAGAAGGCUGAGCAGGUCUCGUUAGCGCACAUUAAAUAUCUCCAAGGUGGGCGCCGGAGGAUGGUGCCAGACCCUCUUCCAGCGGUGCCCAGCGACAGGAGGAGGAGCAAAGGCAAUCGAGAAGUUCCACCUGAACAGGAGGAAGAAGUUCUUUACAUGGAGGGGGGUGGCCGAACACUGGAACAGGUGCCCAGGGAGGGUGUGGAAUCUCCCUCUCCAGAGACGUUCCAAACCCGCUCGGAUGCAGUCAAGGCUCCUGCUCCAGGUGUGUUGGCAGCUCCUAUGAGCAACACCUGGGCACCCGGAGUUUGAGGAGGUUUGCUGCUGAACGUGACAUUCUUCUGACCUCUGUGGUGUUCCCUUCUUGGCUGCCAUGUGGGCUCACACACGCCCCUAGGAACGUGUUGGGUGGUUCCCAGACACAGGUGGGAGAUUUUUAGGUCAUUUGGUCUAAACGAGACCCACCCUGUGUAGCCAGUGAUUUAACUACCCCAGUGCAACGCAGGGAAACAUUUGAAGGACAUUUACAAACAAAACAAAACAAAAAAGCAGCGUGUGGUGAGGGCUGCUGUUGAGGGAAAAGCCCUCAGCCUGUCUGUCUGUCUGUCUGUCUGCUGGGAUCUGAGCUUUUGAAGCUGCAGCUGGGCCUCUGAACCCCUCACGUGGCCAGCGUCUGGAGGGACAUCUGGGUGUCAUCGGAGGGGAAGGAGAGGCAGGCAAGCUUUGUGAUGGGACUAUAGUUCCAGGAAGCCUGGAUGAAAAACAUGGAAUCUGUUUCAUGUGCUGCCAGAGUGUUGUUUGCAUGUUUUCCUCAAAGGACUUCAGAGGAAAAUGAGGAAAUAUGGUUUGAGUUGCUGGAGGAUCUGCUGGUUUUUGUGUGCCCUGUAAAUCUUGAAGCACUUUGGUUUUCCAGCAGUGGUUUGGGGAAUGCAGUUGUUGCAGGCAGAAACAUCUUUAAUGUAUUGUAAUUUGAUUAAAUGUGUGAGUGUAGGUAUGAUUUCUAUGUGCUGCCAUUGCCUUGAUUGUAGAAGUAUUGACAGAAACGAGGCACUUUUUCACUUGAAAAGGCAAAAGCAACACUUGGAUAUAAAAAGACAGAAAUACCUCGGGGUGUGAAGAGGAGUUUCUUCCCUCAUAACUAUUUUUUCCCCUUUGUUUCCUUAAAUUUUACAAAUGCCAGGCUCCCCAGAGUGUGUUGACACCAGGCACAGGGAAAGGAGUCCAUCUGUGUGGUUCUGUUCCUGGAGGAGCUUGUGAUUUUCCACUCUAAAUUGUUUGGGAAAGCAUCACCUGUAUUGAAUGGGACUAAUCCUCCCAUGACAACACCCCUGCCCACAUUCAUCCAGCUAUGAAAUAGGAAUAUUGUACUUUUUGGAAGUGAUGGGCUUUAGUCAUCCCUGUGACGACACAGACGUGACAAUCUUAUUUUGUCAUUUUUUUGGUCAGUGGUUUUAAGUUGGUUUCCUCAUUUCCUGGCUGCUUUGUACUAAAAAGGAAUUGUAAAAUAUUUAUUCCUCCCCUUUUCUGUGUGUGCUGUGAUGUGGAUGGCAGUGGAUCUGCUGCAGGCCUGGCAAUUAAUGUGCCAUGCCCAUGUUUUAUAUGCUAAUUAAAAGGGGAGUAGUGAUACCUCGAGGUGUUUGGGAUUGUAUAGAGCUCAAAUUAAUCUUUAUCUCCUUUACAGGCCGUUGAAGUGUCCAACAGACUUAUCUAAAGUACUGUUAUGAAACUUAAUGGUCAGAUUUUUAAAGCAAUUCUAUCUUGGGCUGCUGAUCUGGUGAUUGAUCUGAUGGUAUAAACACCUGGAAAGUAGGGAGGGCUCGUUAUCUGAUUGGAUUAGUGGGGAUUAAUUCAUUAAUGGUUGUAACAGGUUUGCAAAUC